rnacentral:rRNA from 1 species
GACGAAGGGGGCUAGCGUUGUUCGGAAUUACUGGGCGUAAAGCGUGCGCAGGCGGUUCGUUGUGUCGGUGGUGAAAUCCCCGGGCUUAACCUGGGAAUGGCCAUGGAAACUGGCGAACUGGAGUGCGGCAGAGGGGGGUGGAAUUCCGCGUGUAGCAGUGAAAUGCGUAGAGAUGCGGAGGAACACCGAUGGCGAAGGCAGCCCCCUGGGCUAGCACUGACGCUCAGGCACGAAAGCGUGGGGAGCAAACAGG